rnacentral:rRNA from 1 species
GACGAACGCUGGCGGCGUGCUUAACACAUGCAAGUCGAACGGAAAGGCCUGCUUUCCCUUGUGGAUUGCGGGUGCUCGAGUGGCGAACGGGUGAGUAACACGUGAGUGAUCUGCCCCCAACUUGGGUAUAAGCCUGGGAAACUGGGUCUAAUUCCCGAUAGGACUGCAGGGUGGUGCCUGUGGUGGAAAACGAUUUUCUAGUGGUUGGGGAUGAGCUCGCGGCCUAUCAGCUUGUUGGUGGGGUAAUGGCCUACCAAGGCGGCGACGGGUAGCCGGCCUGAGAGGGUGGACGGCCACAUUGGGACUGAGAUACGGCCCAGACUCCUACGGGAGGCAGCAGUGGGGAAUAGUGCACAAUGGGCGGAAGCCUGAGGCAGCGACGCCGCGUGGGGGAUGACGGCCUUCGGGUUGUAAACUCCUUUCGACCGCGAGGAAGCCACCUGGUUGGAAGGGUGGUGACGGUAGUGGUAGAAGAAGCACCGGCUAACUACGUG